rnacentral:rRNA from 1 species
AGCAGCCGCGGUAAUUCCAGCUCCAAUAGCGUAUAUUAAAGUUGUUGCAGUUAAAAAGCUCGUAGUUGAAUUUCGGGAUCAAAGAAUCGGUCAUGCCUUGGUAUGUACUGGUUUUAUUGGUUCUCACCUUCUAAAGAACCAUGAUGUCAUUCAUUUGAUGUUAUGGGGAUUAGGACUGUUAACCUUGAAAAAAUUAGAGUGUUUAAAGCAAGCUUACGCUUGAAUACAUUAGCAUGGAAUAAUGAAAUAGGACAUCAGAUUCUAUUUUGUUGGUUUCUAGGAUCGAUGUAAUGAUUAAUAGGGAUAGUUGGGGGCAUUAGUAUUCAAUUGUCAGAGGUGAAAUUCUUGGAUUUAUUGAAGACUAACUACUGCGAAAGCAUUUGCCAAGGAUGUUUUCAUUAAUCAAGAACGAAAGUUAGGGGAUCGAAGACGAUCAGAUAC